rnacentral:rRNA from 1 species
AAGGUUAAAACUCAAAUGAAUUGACGGGGGCCCGCACAAGCGGUGGAGCAUGUGGUUUAAUUCGAUGCAACGCGAAGAACCUUACCUGGUCUUGACAUCCACGGAAGUUUUCAGAGAUGAGAAUGUGCCUUCGGGAACCGUGAGACAGGUGCUGCAUGGCUGUCGUCAGCUCGUGUUGUGAAAUGUUGGGUUAAGUCCCGCAACGAGCGCAACCCUUAUCCUUUGUUGCCAGCGGUCCGGCCGGGAACUCAAAGGAGACUGCCAGUGAUAAACUGGAGGAAGGUGGGGAUGACGUCAAGUCAUCAUGGCCCUUACGACCAGGGCUACACACGUGCUACAAUGGCGCAUACAAAGAGAAGCGACCUCGCGAGAGCAAGCGGACCUCAUAAAGUGCGUCGUAGUCCGGAUUGGAGUCUGCAACUCGACUCCAUGAAGUCGGAAUCGCUAGUAAUCGUGGAUCAGAAUGCCACGGUGAAUACGUUCCCGGGCCUUGUACACACC